UACAGAGACCUCAAGCGUUAUCCGGAUUUAUUGGGCGUAAAGGGUCCGCAGGUGGCUUUUCACGUCGAUGGUUAAAUUUUAGGGCUCAACCCUGAAACUGCUGUCGAUACGGUUAAGCUAGAGCAUGGAAGAGGUAAGCGGAAUUACUGGUGUAGUAGUAAAAUGCGUUAAUAUCAGUAGGAACACCAAAUGCGAAGGCAGCUUACUGGGACAUUGCUGACACUCAGGGACGAAAGCGUGGGGAGCGAAA
rnacentral:rRNA from 1 species